rnacentral:rRNA from 1 species
GACGGAGGGUGCUAGCGUUGUUCGGAAUCACUGGGCGUAAAGGGCGCGUAGGCGGCCUUGCAAGUCGGUUGGUGAAAGCCCGGGGCUCAACCCCGGAGGUGCGGCCGAGACUGCAGGGCUGGAGGCCGGAAGAGGAGGGUGGAAUACCCAGUGUAGAGGUGAAAUGCGCAGAUAUCGGGAGGAACACCUAUGGUGAAGGCAGCUCGCUGGGACGUUACUGACGCUGAGACGCGAAAGCGUGGGGAGCAAACAGG